AAUACCACUAGAAAACUACCACUAAGCACUGGAUUUGCUUGCCUUGUGUCUAUGUCCUGUGUUGCAACUCAGCACGUUGAAAAGUAGAGAAGGCAGGAAGAGAGACACAAAUGUAUGACUUUCUGCUGAAGAAAAUUAUUUUGAUACAUGUAUUUUCAUAUGGAAGGGAGAAGGGAAAGGAUUUUAUCACCUGUCUCUGCCCCUAAUAUAUGCCAGAGGUGUCUGCCUUACAGGUAGGUGACAAUCAAUACCAUGUGCUCUAGAUGUCCUGUCUAAUGCUGUCUUCCAGAAUUCAAAAUUAGGAAUCCACGGGGAACUAAUUUUGUCCUGCCAUCCACUUUGAUGUCCAGCAAUGUUUCACUUUGGGUAAUAAAGCCACUUCAAAUACCACAGAACCAUCCCCUCCUGACAGCCAACAUGGGCUGACACAGGGUGGAGGUGACCAAGAAGCCACACAAUGUUGGAUGCAUCAUCUGACCAGGAGCCAGUGUGUGGUACCCGGUAAAGCUGUUGAAGAUAGAGGAUAGCCUCCAGGUGAAUUCAGUGAAAUACCUCCUUACCCUUCUUGUUUGAAGGUGUGAUAGGGUUAGGGUUUUUCUGCCAAGCAAAUGCACCAUGUUUUUUUAUGUGGCUAUAUCCCUUCCUAAGACUUUUUUUUUUUUUUUUUUUUUCUUACUCCAAGGAUUCAUUUCCUUUAUGACUAAAUGCCUCUGCUUGCAGUUUUCUUUCCAAGCUAAGCUCAAUAACCCCUUAUGUUUGCCUGGUGUUUGGGAGUUACAGCCCUGCACAGAAGCUGCAGCUGGACUAUGGGGUGUAGAUGGUAGCUGUGUUCACACACCCCAUUACCAAGUGUUCAACUACUGCUGUGGGAAAGGUAAUUGCUUCAUCUGGUCUUGUUCAUCUGUCAACAAAAAUUUAGUUCAUCUGUCAACAAAAUUUUACUUUCAUGAUUAAAAGGAUUUUUUUUUUAA